AUUGAACGCUGGCGGCAGGCCUAACACAUGCAAGUCGAGCGGAUGAAGGGAGCUUGCUCCUGGAUUCAGCGGCGGACGGGUGAGUAAUGCCUAGGAAUCUGCCUGGUAGUGGGGGAUAACGUCCGGAAACGGGCGCUAAUACCGCAUACGUCCUGAGGGAGAAAGUGGGGGAUCUUCGGACCUCACGCUAUCAGAUGAGCCUAGGUCGGAUUAGCUAGUUGGUGGGGUAAAGGCCUACCAAGGCGACGAUCCGUAACUGGUCUGAGAGGAUGAUCAGUCACACUGGAACUGAGACACGGCCCAGACUCCUACGGGAGGCAGCAGUGGGGAAUAUUGGACGAAGGGCGAAAGCCUGAUCCAGCCAUGCCGCGUGUGUGAAGAAGGUCUUCGGAUUGUAAAGCACUGUAAGUUGGGAGGAAGGGCAGUAAGUUAAUACCUUGCUGUUUUGACGUUACCAACAGAAUAAGCACCGGCUAACUUCGUG
rnacentral:rRNA from 1 species